rnacentral:rRNA from 1 species
AACUAACCAGGAUUCCCCUAGUAACGGCGAGUGAAGAGGGAAGAGCCCAGCACCGAAGCCUGCGGCAGUUUUGCUGUUAGGCAAUGUGGUGUUUGGGUCGGCUCGUGGGACCGCCACUCCACUCGAAGUCCAGCAUUGAGUAUGGUUUCUGGAUUUGGCCCAGAGAGGGUGAAAGGCCCGUACGGGUGGAGUAUCAGACAUGUGAGGUGGUUCACCAGGCCGGCCUUAGAGUCGGGUUGUUUGGGAAUGCAGCCCAAAGCGGGUGGUAAACUCCAUCCAAGGCUAAAUACUAGCACGAGUCCGAUAGCGAACAAGUACCGUGAGGGAAAGUUGAAAAGUACUCUGAAGAGAGAGUAAACAGUACGUGAAACCGCAUGCAGGUAAACGGGUGGCGUCAAGCUGCAGGCCCAGAGAAUUCAGUCGGCCAGGAUGUUGUGUAUGCGCCUGGCGCAUCUAUCAGUCGGAGUAUGAUUGGAUGGUCCACCAGUAAACGGUGGGUCUGGCCGUGAGGUCAGAAUAUGUGUACCGGGUGGGUGCCGGAGCAUGCUAUCCGUCUGUGGACUGUCUGGCCGGUGCACUUUCUCUGUGGUCAACACCACGACCGGUGGUAUUGCCAGUCUGCUGUGUCCAAGUUGCAUUUGGUGGGUCCUCGUGGCUUACUGGGUGUGAUCACAGGCGAAGUCAGUUAACGGCGUAGAGGUGUUUCGGCACUUUUGCGUGUUAUCGGCAACUGUUUGUGAACGGGCCUGCUCAGUGUUUGUUGUAACCGACGCUGGGUGGUCCGGUGGGGCAUGGUGGUAAGAAUAACUGUGCAAGGCACCGGGGUUAUCGGCCUCAAAUGCGCCCUGCGCCCACGUUACAAGUGGUAUUUAAUAUCGGCGGUGUCGUUGCUGCCUGCCCGGUGCUGGGUGUGAUUGGCGUGUUGCCUGCUCAAAGUGGUAGGCCCGCCAGUGGCUCGGCUCGGGAUGGGUNNUUGGCGGUGCUGUCGGUGUGGGGCGUUGUGGGCCAAAUAGU